ACGGGUGCAGCAGGCGCGAAAACUUUACAAUGCAGGCAACUGUGAUAAGGGAACCCCGAGUGCCCGUAUGGACGGGCUGUUCAGGUGCUUAAAAACCACCUGGAGAAAGGGCCGGGCAAGACCGGUGCCAGCCGCCGCGGUAAUACCGGCGGCUCGAGUGGUGGCCACUAUUACUGGGCUUAAAGCGUCCGUAGCUUGGUCGUUAAGCCUCUGGGGAAAUCUUCCGGCUCAACCGGAAGGCGUCUCAGGGGGACUGGCGACCUAGGGAUCGGGAGAGGUGAGAGGUACUCUGGGGGUAGGAGUGAAAUCCUGUAAUCCUCAGGGGACCACCUGUGGCGAAGGCGUCUCACCAGAACGACUCCGACAGUGAGGGACGAAAGCUGGGGGAGCAAACCGGAUUAGAUACCCGUGUAGUCC
rnacentral:rRNA from 1 species